UUUCCGUAGGUGAACCUGCGGAAGGAUCAUUAAUUAUAUAAAGCCGCAUGGCGAGCUUUCCUAAAGAAUCGACCUUGCUGUGUGAAACCUACCUACCCGUGCUUUUUACGUACCAAUUGUUUCUUCUGCAGGCUGGCCUGCCAGGAGGUCCCUCUUAAACCAUUUAUAGUUACAGUCAUCGUCAUAAAAAACCUUAUCAUAACAACUUUCAACAACGGAUCUCUUUGUUCUGGCAUCGAAGAAGACAGCAGCACGUAAGAAGAGCACACUUCUCAACUC
rnacentral:misc_RNA from 1 species